AGCUUUGCGCAGUGGCAGUAACAUAGCUGAUGAGGUUCAUCCGAGACGUGUUUAUUGCUAGUUGAAAACUAUACCCAAUACCCCGCCCUGUGGACGUAUAAACCGUUCGCUGUGGCAAUUUCUGAUGGGUUCCCCGGAAC
rfam:Ciona savignyi cont_36836, whole genome shotgun sequence.